rnacentral:lncRNA from 1 species
UGGAAAGUGAGGCUAGGAACCCAGGGAGCCCCCUGAGGGCUGGGAGAACGAGCGGAGGGAACCAGGGAAACUCUGAGGGGAAGCGGGGAACGAGCUGAGGGACAGGCGGGACGGGUGAAGACGAGCUGAGGGAACCGAGGGAGCUCUGAGGGACUGCGGAGAACGAGCUGAGGGGACUGGAACUUGAACUGAGGGACAGGGAAGGAACGAGCUGAGGGAACUGGAACUUGAGUUGAGGGACAGGGAGGGAACGAGCUGAGGGAACCGCAAAGGCCAGUCUGGGGCGGACUGAGGGAACCGGGAGAGCUCUGGGGGACGGGGGGGAACGAGCUGAGGGCACCGGGGCGGCUCUGAGGGGUCGGUGCCAGGUGAGGGCUGAGGGGAAGCCCGGCCAAUGCAGGUGCUGAGCCCCAGCGAGCAGAGAGGACCGAUACCCUUCCAGUGAGGGAAAACGGAGAGAUUUUGGGGGGACGGUGGAGAAAAUGCUGGAGAAGUAGUUGGAGUGUCCAUGGGAGGCAAAUGAGAAGAAACGCUUAAACUCUGUUGGGCUGCAGUGGCAGGAGGAUGGGGUGGUUGUGGUGAAGAUACAUGUGGGGUUUUUCUGUUUGCUUUUAGGUUUCUCACUCCAAGGACAGAGAUGUGGAGGUAUUGGAGGCACUGGAGGGUUGAAAAGGAUGCAGGGAAGAACAAGAACAAAUCGAGGAUGCCUUGCUGUGCCUAGGCUCUAGACCUGCUUAAGUGCAUAUGUGUGACCCUCCAUGGUUUUCCUGGCGUCUUCCAGGAGAGAUCCCAGGUCCAUUCCUCAGUCCUGAUUUUGUGGGAUCACCUGCAGCACUCAGGGAGUUGAGCGACAAGAAGAGGAUUUCGCAUUCGCGCGUUGCUGGGCUUUGGAAUUUUCUCCCUGGAUUUCGGUUCGUUUUUCGCGUCUGCAAUACCAGCUUCUCCUGUUGAUUUGAUCCAAUGGACUGACAUGCAGGGGAGACUCAGAUGAAAGUUGCAUCUGAGGAGUGUUUGUGCUCAUAGCUGAGGAACCUUCCCAAAGCUGCCUUCCUCAUUAUCCACCAAAGUCCUCCUGCUGUUCCACAUACUAAUUCCACAGGGUGGAAUUAAUGCUUUCACAUGGCAAAGGCCAACUGUAACUGUUGCUUCACACUGAAAACACAGAGGGAGAAGGUGUUUCACUAAACCAUCACCAGUGGACAUCACAACAGGUAGGAUGGAUAAAAAUUAUCAAUUUUAUUUUCCUGCUUUUCUAAAUGCAAUGUGGUCCAAGACUUUAUAUAUGUGAUGUUCCAUUUUUGCUUCCUUGCAAGAAAAUAAACCAACCAAGCCACAAUGUGCA